UGACUUGUAAACAGGAGUUGGUGGGGGUGGAGACUUAUAAAUUGGUGCAGGAUGGUAUGGUGUUGGUGAUGGAUGAUAUGGCUUCACUGGUGGUGGUGGUGACUUGUAAACUGGAGUUGGUGGUGGUGGAGAUUUGUAAACUGGUGCAGGAUGAUACAGUGUUGUGAAGGAUGGUAUGGCUUCUUUGGUGGUGGUGGUGACUUGUAUACUGGAGUUGGUGGCGGUGGCGACUUAUAGACUGGGGUGUGUGGAGGGUAGUAUGGCUUCUUGGGUGGUGGUGGUGACUUGUAAACGGGAGUUGGUGGUGGUGGAGACUUAUAAACCGGGGUGUGUGGAGGAUAGUGUGGCUUCUUGGGUGGUGGUGGUGACUUGUAUACUGGAGUUGGUGGUGGUGGAGACUUAUAAACCGGGGUGUGUGGAGGGUAGUAUGGCUUCUUUGGUGGUGGUGGCGACUUGUAAACUGGGGUCGGUGGUGGUGGAGAUUUGUAAACAGGGGUGUGUGGAGGGGUGACUUGUAAACUGGAGUUGGUGGUGGUGGCGACUUAUAAACAGGGGUGUGUGGAGGGUAGUAUGGCUUCUUGGGUGGUGGUGGUGACUUGUAAACGAGAGAUGGUGGUGGUGGAGACUUAUAAACCGGGGUGUGUGGAGGAUAGUGUGGCUUCUUGGGUGGUGGUGGUGACUUGUAUACUGGAGUUGGUGGUGGUGGAGACUUAUAAACCGGGGUGUGUGGAGGGUAGUAUGGCUUCUUUGGUGGUGGUGGCGACUUGUAAACUGGGGUCGGUGGUGGUGGAGAUUUGUAAACAGGGGUGUGUGACGACUUGUAAACGGGAGUUGGUGGUGGUGGAGACUUAUAAACCGGGGUGUGUGGAGGGUAGUGCGGCUUCUUGGGUGGUGGUGGUGACUUGUAUACUGGAGUUGGUGGUGGUGGAGACUUAUAAACCGGGGUGUGUGGAGGGUAGUAUGGCUUCUUUGGUGGUGGUGGCGACUUGUAAACUGGGGUCGGUGGUGGUGGAGAUUUGUAAACAGGGGUGUGUGGAGGGUAGUAUGGCUUCUUGGGUGGUGGUGGCGACUUGUAAACUGGGGUGUGUGGAGGAUAGUAUGGUUUCUUAGGUGGUGGUGGUGACUUGUAAACCGGAGUUGGUGGUGGUGGAGAUUUAUAAACAGGUGCAGAAUGAUAUGGUGUUGGUGAAGGAUGGUAUGGCUUCUUAG
rnacentral:lncRNA from 1 species